GCCUCAGAUUAAACCAAGCUCAGCUGGGAGUCAUCCCUGACACCGUUACACCUGCCUCAUAACCCCAUCCAGGAAUGCAGAGACCUCGGCACGGCUGGUCCUGCCGCGGCGCAUCUGCGCCUUCUGCAGAAGGGACGGGCCGGUUUCGACCAGAUGCAGCAGGGGACCCAGGCGUUAAGAACAGGCCCAAACUCUCUCCGCAUCCCCGCCAGCUCCUGUCGUUUCCUGACUUCUGACUGGUGUGAGGUGGGAUCUCAUGGUGUUGAGUAUGGUGUGAAAUUUAAGAAACAGGAUCAUAG